CUCGUAUAGAUUUGUACGAUGGUUCAAUAAGGAAAUACUAUUGUUCUGAUGAUGACGAAAUUGUAACGAUGUUUCCGAAAACUGAUGAUUCAGAAGACGUGAUCAUUUCGUGUGAUUAUAGGACAAGUCAUUUAAAUCCUUAUAAUAUUUUGCCUGAAGGACUUAAUUUGACUUUAACUGGAACCGGGUCUCAUAACGGUAACGAAACUAAUAUAUGGAAUGCUGUGAGUACGAAAAAACAAACUAAUUUCCACCUUACUGCUAUAACAAUAAAACAUGGAGUCUUCGAUGUGCCAAUCAG